AUUGAACGCUGGCGGCGUGCCUAACACAUGCAAGUCGAGCGGUAACAGGUGUAGCAAUACAUGCUGACGAGCGGCGGACGGGUGAGUAACGCUUGGGAAUCUGCCUAUUAGUGGGGGACAACCCGGGGAAACUCGGGCUAAUACCGCAUACGCACUACGGUGGAAAGCCGGGGACCGCAAGGCCUGGCGCUAACAGAUGAGCCCAAGUCGGAUUAGCUAGUUGGUAGGGUAACGGCCACCAAGGCGACGAUCCGUAACUGGUCUGAGAGGACGACCAGUCACACCGGAACUGAGACACGGUCCGGACUCCUACGGGAGGCAGCAGUGGGGAAUAUUGGACAAUGGCGAAAGCCUGAUCCAGCGACGCCGCGUGGGUGAAGAAGGCCUGCGGGUUGUAAAGCCCUUUCAGUGGGAAGAAAGCCUCGAGCUAACACCUCGGGUCUUGACGUAACCCAUAGAAGAAGCACCGGCUAACUCUGUGCCAGCAG
rnacentral:rRNA from 1 species